UAGAUGAAAAAAAAAAAAACCACAGAUGUAAAAAUCAAAGUCAAAAGGCGGAACCAAUUACUCUGUAGAACGACAGCAGUAUUUUGUGAGCAGCCAACAGGGGAGAAAAAACUAUCGCUCCAGUCAAGUAUCUUUUUAAUAAUCCUGCCUAUCUUUGUUUCAUUUGGACAUAGAUAUACAGAUUCUUCACCAUGAUCUUCGUGUCAGCAUUUCUAUUAUUAGUUUUAACUUCUAAGAUACUUUUGUACAAAGCUGAGAAGAUCACCCAAGUGCCUCUGAUGGAUGCAUUGGAAGGAACAGGGCUGGAACUUUCUUGCAGCCACCCAUCGGCAUCAGCAGCUGAAACAAUCUUCUGGUAUCAACAGUUCCCCAACCAAGGGCUUCGGUACAUUGUAUCUGCCUACAAUAAAGAAGAGAAGAGUAAUAUACUAGAGGAAGUCACUUUGGUGGUCUCCGAAGAUCGAAAGUCAAGUAUUCUUUCCUUCAAAAGAGCUACGUUGGAGGACUCUGCUGUGUACUAUUGUGCUCUGGGCGACACAGUGCUGCAACCUGGUGCCUUUGCUGUGCAAAAACUCUCUCGGAUUCUUCUGAGUAAUUCCGAGAUCUCCCAAGACCUCCUUGUGGAAGGAUCUGAUGGAAAAGAACUGAAUCUCUCCUGCAAACUUCCCUCUGCUUCUAAAGGAGAUGCAAUUCAUUGGUACCGGCAGUUUCCAAGCCAGGUUCCUCACUUCAUAGUGUCUGGAUACAAUGGAAAAGUGAAAAGUGAUCAAGUAGAGGGAGUCUUCCUAUUUAUCCAAAAAGACCAACAAUCCAGCAUUUUGUCCUUCACCGGAGUUACCUUGGAGGACUCUGCAUCGUAUUACUGUGCAGUGAGUGACACAGUGCUACGCUCUGGUGUCUUUGCAAUGCAAAAACUCUUUCCGUCUGAUGCUGACUGAAGUGGUGCAUUUGAUGGGCAAACAUCAGUCUUCACAUACCAAAAAAAGGGUUCUUCACUUUUCUUGA